GACAGAGGGGGCAAGCGUUGCUCGGAAUUACUGGGCGUAAAGGGCGCGUAGGCGGGAUGGCAAGUCGGUCGUGAAAUCCCUCGGCUCAACCGAGGAACGUCGAUCGAUACUGCUGUUCUUGAGGAUUGCAGAGGAGACUGGAAUUCCCGGUGUAGCGGUGAAAUGUGUAGAGAUCGGGAGGAACACCGGUGGCGAAGGCGGGUCUCUGGGCAAUUCCUGACGCUGAUGCGCGAAAGCGUGGGGAGCGAUCCGG
rnacentral:rRNA from 1 species